CCGCUGACGACCGGCGCACGGGUGCGUAACGCGUAUGACACCUACCUCUAACUUGGGAAUAGCCCCGAGAAAUCGGGANNAAUACCCUAUAAUAUUCAUCUUUCGCAUGUUUGAUGAAUUAAAGUUCCGACGGUUAGAGAUGGGCAUGCGUGACAUUAGCUAGUUGGUGAGGUAAUGGCUCACCAAGGCAACGAUGUCUAGGGGUUCUGAGAGGAUUUUCCCCCACACUGGUACUGAGACACGGACCAGACUCCUACGGGAGGNAGCAGUAAGGAAUAUUGGGCAAUGGACGAAAGUCUGACCCAGCUANGCCGCGUGCAGGAUGACAGCCCUACGGGUCGUAAACUGCUUUUAUAUAGGAAGAAACCCUACUACGUGUAGUAGGCUGACGGUACUAUAUGAAUAAGCACCGGCUAACUACGUGCCAGCAGCCGCGGUAAUACGGAGGGUGCAAGCGUUAUCCGGAUUUAUUGGGUUUAAAGGGUGCGCAGGCGGAAUGAUAAGUCAGUGGUGAAAUCCUACAGCUCAACUGUA
rnacentral:rRNA from 1 species